GAUGUAGGCGGCUUGGCAAGUGUUGUGUGAAAGCCCGCAGCUCAACUGCGGAGUUGCAUGGCAAACUGCCUGGCUUGAGGUCGGUAGAGGUGUCUGGAACUCUAGGUGGAGCGGUGAAAUGCGUAGAUAUCUAGAGGAACGCCGGAGGCGAAAGCGGGACACUGGGCCGAUUCUGACGCUGAGAUCCAAAGCGUGGGGAGCAAACAGGAUUAGAUACCCUGGUAGUCC
rnacentral:rRNA from 1 species